rnacentral:rRNA from 1 species
CCUACGGGAGGCAGCAGUGAGGAAUAUUGGUCAAUGGACGAGAGUCUGAACCAGCCAAGUAGCGUGAAGGAUGACUGCCCUAUGGGUUGUAAACUUCUUUUAUAUGGGAAUAAAAUGUUCCACGUGUGGGAUUUUGUAUGUACCAUAUGAAUAAGGAUCGGCUAACUCCGUGCCAGCAGCCGCGGUAAUACGGAGGAUCCGAGCGUUAUCCGGAUUUAUUGGGUUUAAAGGGAGCGUAGGUGGAUUGUUAAGUCAGUUGUGAAAGUUUGCGGAUCAACCGUAAAAUUGCAGUUGAAACUGGCAGUCUUGAGUACAGUAGAGGUGGGCGGAAUGCGUGGUGUAGCGGUGAAAUGCUUAGAUAUCACGAAGAACUCCGAUUGCGAAGGCAGUUCACUGGACUGCAACGGACACUGAGGCUCGAAAGUGUGGGUAUCAAACAGGAUUAGAUACCCUAGUAGUC